rnacentral:rRNA from 1 species
GACGAACGCUGGCGGCGUGCUUAACACAUGCAAGUCGAGCGGAAAGGCCCUUCGGGGUACUCGAGCGGCGAACGGGUGAGUAACACGUGAGUAACCUGCCCCAGACUUUGGGAUAACCCUCGGAAACGGGGGCUAAUACCGGAUACGACACAGCUUCGCAUGGGGUCUGUGUGGAAAGUUUUUCGGUUUGGGAUGGGCUCGCGGCCUAUCAGCUUGUUGGUGGGGUGAUGGCCUACCAAGGCGACGACGGGUAGCCGGCCUGAGAGGGCGACCGGCCACACUGGGACUGCGAGACGGCCCAGACUCCUACGGGAGGCAGCAGUGGGGAAUAUUGCACAAUGGGCGGAAGCCUGAUGCAGCGACGCCGCGUGAGGGAUGACGGCCUUCGGGUUGUAAACCUCUUUCAGCAGGGACGAAGCGUAAGUGACGGUACCUGCAGAAGAAGCGCCGGCCAACUACGUG